rnacentral:rRNA from 1 species
UACGUAGGGAGCAAGCGUUGUCCGGAAUCAUUGGGCGUAAAGCGCGCGUAGGCGGCCCUGUAAGUCCGUUGUGAAAGUCAAAGGCUCAACCUUUGAAAGCCGAUGGAUACUGCAGGGCUAGAGUCCGGAAGAGGCGAGUGGAAUUCCUGGUGUGGCGGUGGAAUGCGCAGAUAUCAGGAGGAACACCAAUAGCGAAGGCAGCUCGCUGGGACGGUACUGACGCUAAGGCGCGAAAGCGUGGGGAGCGAACAGG